GAUGGCGACCGGCGCACGGGUGAGUAACGCGUAUCCAACCUUCCCUUAGUAGGGCAUAGCCCGGCGAAAGUCGGAUUAAUACCCUAUGUUAUCCGAAGAGGACAUCUGAAUUGGAUUAAAGAUUUAUCGCUAAGGGAUGGGGAUGCGUCUGAUUAGGUAGUCGGCGGGGUAACGGCCCACCGAGCCUGCGAUCAGUAGGGGUUCUGAGAGGAAGGUCCCCCACAUUGGAACUGAGACACGGUCCAAACUCCUACGGGAGGCAGCAGUGAGGAAUAUUGGUCAAUGGGCGCGAGCCUGAACCAGCCAAGUAGCGUGCAGGAUGACGGCCCUAUGGGUUGUAAACUGCUUUUAUGGCGGGGAUAAAGUGCACCACGUGUGGUGUUUUGUAAGUACCGCAUGAAUAAGGACCGGCUAAUUCCGUGCCAGCCGCCGC
rnacentral:rRNA from 1 species